rnacentral:rRNA from 1 species
AGCGAACGUUAGCGGCGGGCCUAACACAUGCAAGUCGCACGAGAAUUCGGGCUUCGGCUCGAUAGUAAAGUGGCGGACGGGUGAGUAACACGUGGGUAAUUUGCCUUUCAGUGGGGGAUAACUGUCCGAAAGGAUAGCUAAUACCGCAUUCGUCGCCCGGACCUUUGGGUCUGGUCGGGAAAGCAGGCCUCUCCAUGGAAGCUUGCGCUGAAAGAUGAGCCCGCGGCCCAUCAGCUAGUUGGCGGGGUAAUGGCCCACCAAGGCGAAGACGGGUAGCUGGUCUGAGAGGAGGAUCAGCCACACUGGAACUGAGACACGGUCCAGACUCCUACGGGAGGCAGCAGUGGGGAAUAUGGGGCAAUGGGCGCAAGCCUGACCCAGCCACGCCGCGUGAGUGAUGAAGGCCUUCGGGUCGUAAAGCUCUGUGGGGAGGGACGAAACAGCUGCCAGCUAAUCAUGGCGGCCCUGACGGUACCUCCUUAGCAAGCACCGGCUAACUCCGUGCCAGCCGCCGCCGUAAAAC